rnacentral:rRNA from 1 species
GACGAACGCUGGCGGCGUGCUUAACACAUGCAAGUCGAACGCUGAAGCUCAGCUUUUGUUGGGUGGAUGAGUGGCGAACGGGUGAGUAACACGUGAGUAACCUGCCUCCUUCUUUGGGAUAACGUCCGGAAACGGGUGCUAAUACUGGAUAUUCACUGGUCUUCGCAUGGGGGUUGGUGGAAAGGGUUUUUCUGGUGGGGGAUGGGCUCGCGGCCUAUCAGCUUGUUGGUGGGGUGGUUGCCUACCAAGGCUUUGACGGGUCGGCGGGCUGGGAGGGUGACUGGUCACAUGGGGGGUGAGAUUGGGCCCAGACUACUACGGGGGGCAGCAGGGGAGAAAAUAGCGCGAUGGGUGGAAGACUGGUGCAGCGACGCAUCGAGAGAGAUCGAGUGCGUCAGGUUGUGAACCGCUUUCGCUCAUGGUCAAGCCGCUAAAAUAGUUGUGGUGAGGGUAGUGGGUAAAGAAGCGCCGGCUAACUACGUG